rnacentral:rRNA from 1 species
CCUACGGGGUGCAGCAGUCGAGAAUCAUUCACAAUGGGGGAAACCCUGAUGGUGCGACGCCGCGUGGGGGAAUGAAGGUCUUCGGAUUGUAAACCCCUGUCAUGUGGGAGCAAAUUAAAAAGAUAGUACCACAAGAGGAAGAGACGGCUAACUCUGUGCCAGCAGCCGCGGUAAUACAGAGGUCUCAAGCGUUGUUCGGAAUCACUGGGCGUAAAGCGUGCGUAGGCUGUUUCGUAAGUCGUGUGUGAAAGGCCCGGGCUCAACCCGCGGACGGCACAUGAUACUGCGAGACUAGAGUAAUGGAGGGGGAACCGGAAUUCUCGGUGUAGCAGUGAAAUGCGUAGAUAUCGAGAGGAACACUCGUGGUGAAGGCGGGUUCCUGGACAUUAACUGACGCUGAGGCACGAAGGCCAGGGGAGCGAAAGGGAUUAGAUACCCCAGUAGUC